rnacentral:tRNA from 1 species
GGUACCGUAGAACAAUUGGUUAGUUCAUCAGUCUUAAUCUGAAGGUUGUUGGUUCGAGUCCAGCCGGUACCG